rnacentral:tRNA from 1 species
UGCGGGGAAGUGUAACGGUUUGCACACGAGGCUCAUAACCUCGAGGUAGCGGGUUCAAUUCCCGCCCCCGCAA